rnacentral:rRNA from 1 species
UACGGAGGGUGCAAGCGUUGCUCGGAAUUAUUGGGCGUAAAGGGUAGGUAGGUGGUCUCAUUUGUCUGGGGUGAAAGCCUUGAGCUUAACUCAAGAAGUGCCCCAGAAACGGUGAGACUAGAGUCUUGGAGAGGGUCGUGGAAUUCCCGGUGUAGCGGUGAAAUGCGUAGAUAUCUGGAGGAACACCGGUGGCGAAGGCGGCAUUCUGGACCGAUAUUGACGCUGAGGAGCGAAAGCCAGGGGAGCAAACGGG